GACGAACGCUGGCGGCGUGCUUAACACAUGCAAGUCGAACGAUGAAGCCGGAGCUUGCUCUGGUGAAUUAGUGGCGAACGGGUGAGUAACACGUGAGUAACCUGCCCUUGACUCUGGGAUAACUGCGGGAAACUGUAGCUAAUACCGGAUACGACCCUCGGAGGCAUCUCCUGGGGGUUGAAAGAAUUUCGGUCAAGGAUGGACUCGCGGCCUAUCAGCUAGUGGGUGAGGUAAAGGCUCACCAAGGCGACGACGGGUAGCCGGCCUGGGAGGGUGACCGGCCACACUGGGACUGAGACACGGCCCAGACUCCUACGGGAGGCAGCAGUGGGGAAUAUUGCACAAUGGGCGCAAGCCUGAUGCAGCAACGCCGCGUGAGGGAUGACGGCCUUCGGGUUGUAAACCUCUUUUAGCAGGGAAGAAGCGAAAGUGACGGUACCUGCAGAAAAAGCACCGGCUAACUACGUGCCAGCCGCCGCCGUAA
rnacentral:rRNA from 1 species